UACGGGGGGGGCAAGCGUUGUUCGGAAUUACUGGGCGUAAAGGGCGCGUAGGCGGCCAACUAAGUCGGAUGUGAAAUCCCCAGGCUCAACCUGGGAACUGCAUCCGAUACUGGAUGGCUUGAAUUCGGGAGAGGGAUGCAGAAUUCCAGGUGUAGCGGUGAAAUGCGUAGAUAUCUGGAGGAAUACCGGUGGCGAAGGCGGCAUCCUGGACCGACAUUGACGCUGAUGAGCGAAAGCUAGGGGAGC
rnacentral:rRNA from 1 species